AGCACGCAAUAUUUUAACUAUGUUUAGACAACUCCCAUAUUGAGCUCUGUUAAGCUUUAUUUGGAUACUUCACUUUGUUUAAUUUUAGUCCUGCAUCAAUAUUUGUCUUUUCUCGAGCUAAUUCUACCAAUUAAAAAGUACUCUCUAAUACCUUUGUUUUAUUGGUGUUUGUUUAGACCUGUUUAUUAUAUUUGAUUUUUGUUGGUUUGAAUGUAUGUAUGUUAAAUUUUGUGAGGUUGUGAUUGGUGAUAUCAGAAACUUGUUAAUUGUGUAGGAAGACUAAUUUGAGUUGAGAGAAACCUUAUUCUGUUUGCUAUAAUUUUAACCUUGUUGGUAUGCAGAUUGAUAGCUUUCGGGCUAUGAUUCUUCACAUCUGUCCUAGCCUUGGUGAACAUAGUUACUUGGUACCUGUUGCUGGUGGGAGGUCAAGGUGCGCAAAAGCUGGUCCUGACACCACAAUCAUAAAAAAAAAAUCAUGAAGCAUCAACAAGUUGAGCCAGCAGAGAUGACAGUUUAGUUCCUUGUAUAUUCAGGCAGAGGCAGAGCUACCUUUUGUCACUUUUGGGAAAUUGCAAUAUGUAAAUGGGGCAAAAAUAACAUACAUGCUAUUUUUUGGUAUGUUCAUUUCUAUAUGUUGAAUCUCCUCGAUGAAAAUUCUGAUUUCUCGGCUCUACAUGUAAAAGUGAAGGGAUCCAGCGUGGCGUAAUUGUAUAUUUCUGCCUUAAAUGCAGCUUUGCAGACGUUUUUUCUUUCAAAUGUUGAUUACAUUUCUUGGAUUUGUUAAUUCUAACGUGGUUCAACAAUUGCAUUUUACCAGCAAGUCAUCCUUGUAAUGCCAAAUAAGUAUUUCUCAA